rnacentral:rRNA from 1 species
GCACGUAGUUAGCCGAGACUUAUUCCUGAGAUACUGUCCUUUCUCAUCUCUCAGAAAAGUGCUUUACGACCCGAAGGCCUUCAUCGCACACGCGGCGUUGCUGCAUCAGGCUUUCGCCCAUUGUGCAAUAUUCCCUACUGCUGCCACCCGUAGGUGUAUGGACCGUGUUUCAGUUCCAUUGUGGGGGGUCACCCUCUCAGGUCCCCUACCCGUCGUAGCCUUGGUGAGCCGUCACCUCACCAACUAGCUGAUGGGACGCAGGUCCCUCCCAAAGCGAAUUGCUCCUUUAGUUAUCAGUUUCUAAGCCCGAUAACCACAUGCGGUAUUAGCAAUCCUUUCGGACUGUUAUUCCACACUUCGGGGUAGGUCACCAACGCGUUACUCACCCGUUCGCCACUAGGAUACUCUCGUAUUGCUACAAAAGCACCUCGUUCGACUUGCAUGUAUUAGGCACGCCGCCAGCGUUCAUC